AUUGAACGCUGGCGGCAGGCCUAGCACAUGCAAGUCGAGCGGAUGAAGGGAGCUUGCUCCUGGAUUCAGCGGCGGACGGGUGAGUAAUGCCUAGGAAUCUGCCUGGUAGUGGGGGAUAACGUCCGGAAACGGGCGCUAAUACCGCAUACGUCCUGAGGGAGAAAGUGGGGGAUCUUCGGACCUCACGCUAUCAGAUGAGCCUAGGUCGGAUUAGCUAGUUGGUGGGGUAAAGGCCUACCAAGGCGACGAUCCGUAACUGGUCUGAGAGGAUGAUCAGUCACACUGGAACUGAGACACGGUCCAGACUCCUACGGGAGGCAGCAGUGGGGAAUAUUGGACAAUGGGCGAAAGCCUGAUCCAGCCAUGCCGCGUGUGUGAAGAAGGUCUUCGGAUUGAAAAGCACUUUAAGUUGGGAGGAAGGGCAGUAAGUUAAUACCUUGCUGUUUUGACGUUACCAACAGAAUAAGCACCGGCUAACUUCGUG
rnacentral:rRNA from 1 species